rnacentral:rRNA from 1 species
CAACCCUGCGGUCGUACUCCCCAGGCGGAGUGCUUAAUGCGUUAGCUGCAGCACUAAGGGGCGGAAACCCCCUAACACUUAGCACUCAUCGUUUACGGCGUGGACUACCAGGGUAUCUAAUCCUGUUUGAUCCCCACGCUUUCGCACAUCAGCGUCAGUUACAGACCAGAAAGUCGCCUUCGCCACUGGUGUUCCUCCAUAUCUCUGCGCAUUUCACCGCUACACAUGGAAUUCCACUUUCCUCUUCUGCACUCAAGUUUUCCAGUUUCCAAUGACCCUCCACGGUUGAGCCGUGGGCUUUCACAUCAGACUUAAAAAACCGCCUACGCGCGCUUUACGCCCAAUAAUUCCGGAUAACGCUUGCCACCUACGUAUUACCGCGGCUGCUGGCACGUAGUUAGCCGUGGCUUUCUGAUUAGGUACCGUCAAGAUGUGCACAGUUACUUACACAUAUGUUCUUCCCUAAUAACAGAGUUUUACGAUCCGAAGACCUUCAUCACUCACGCGGCGUUGCUCCGUCAGGCUUUCGCCCAUUGCGGAAGAUUCCCUACUGCUGCCUCCCGUAGGAGUCUGGACCGUGUCUCAGUUCCAGUGUGGCCGAUCACCCUCUCAGGUCGGCUAUGCAUCGUUGCCUUGGUAAGCCGUUACCUUACCAACUAGCUAAUGCAGCGCGGAUCCAUCUAUAAGUGACAGCAAGACCGUCUUUCACUUUUGAACCAUGCGGUUCAAAAUAUUAUCCGGUAUUAGCUCCGGUUUCCCGAAGUUAUCCCAGUCUUAUAGGUAGGUUAUCCACGUGUUACUCACCCGUCCGCCGCUAACAUCAGAGAAGCAAGCUUCUCGUCCGUUCGCUCGACUUGCAUGUAUUAGGCACGCCGCCAGCGUUCAUCCUGAGCCAGGAUCAAACCCUG